UACGGGGGGGGCAAGCGUUGUUCGGAAUUACUGGGCGUAAAGGGCUCGUAGGCGGCCAACUAAGUCAUACGUGAAAUCCCCCGGCUUAACCGGGGAACUGCGUCUGAUACUGGAUGGCUUGAGUUCGGGAGAGGGAUGCGGAAUUCCAGGUGUAGCGGUGAAAUGCGUAGAUAUCUGGAGGAACACCGGUGGCGAAGGCGGCAUCCUGGACCGAUACUGACGCUGAGGAGCGAAAAGCCAGGGGAGCAAACGGGGAUUAGAAAACCCCCAGUAAAUCCAGAAC
rnacentral:rRNA from 1 species